GCCGAUGAUGAUCGAGCUGUUCUGAGUGGUGAUGAGCCCUAUGAGUCCUGAGG
rnacentral:snoRNA from 1 species